GCUCACCAUUUUUGAGUGUUUACUACAUCCUGGUCAUCUACAAGUACUACAAGACAUCAUAUGUAACUACAACCUUCCUCUUCAACAUGUCGUUUAUUUUGCGGGUGUCAUGUCUUUUAUUUUUGCGGGUAGCAGUUAUGUUGAAGACAAUUCUUUAUUUCUUUUGUAAGGUGAAAUACAAGCAUGUUAAUUAUUGUAUGAUGUAGAUUUAUAUAGAGAGAGUGGUUACUACCUUUUUUCCAUUCUAUCCAAAAAACGGAUUGGGUUCUACCAUCAAAAGCGAUAACGGAUAAAAACAAGAAAAAUCAACCAGGAGAGAGGGAGGAGUUGGCCGGCAUGGGGUCAUGAGUGGUACAAACAGGAAGAUGCACGCCCAUGGUUUUGUUCGUUGCAUUCACCUUAUUGAAGAUAAUAAACACUUAUUGAGGAACAUGCUAAGGAUGGAGGAACGGACCUCAAGUUCCAGCUGCAUAUUAUUCAGCUUGAUUCAUUGCUCAGGAUUUUUGAAGAUAUGGCUUCUAAUUCCAUCAACCAAGAACUUAAUUCAGAAUCUAAAAUUUAAAGGUGAGGUAGAGGAAUAUUGCCUGUCCUGUCCAGAAACAAUGCUCGUUUUUUAUUCCAGUCGAUGUAUUUCUUGUGUCUGAUGGAUUGAGUUUUGAGUUGGAACAUAAGUAUAUUAGUGUCAUAGAAUUUGCACAUAUGCUUUAUCCACUUGUGAUUACUAUUUACACAGCAUAUAUUUAUAUUUGGAUUACAGAUUCUCUGUACUUGUUGUUGUACUUUGUGUUUUCUACUGAUUGUGGUGCCUCUUGAAGCAGGGAAAGCUAGGAGUCAUUGAUGACAGGUACGGA